AGUGAACGCUGGCGGUAGGCCUAACACAUGCAGGUCGAACGGCAGCACAGUAAGAGCUUGCUCUUACGGGUGGCGAGUGGCGGACGGGUGAGGAAUACAUCGGAAUCUACUUUUUCGUGGGGGAUAACGUAGGGAAACUUACGCUAAUACCGCAUACGACCUACGGGUGAAAGCAGGGGAUCUUCGGACCUUGCGCGAUUGAAUGAGCCGAUGUCGGAUUAGCUAGUUGGCGGGGUAAAGGCCCACCAAGGCGACGAUCCGUAGCUGGUCUGAGAGGAUGAUCAGCCACACUGGAACUGAGACACGGUCCAGACUCCUACGGGAGGCAGCAGUAGGGAAUAUUGGACAAUGGGCGGAAGCCUGAUCCAGCCACACCGCGUGGGUGAAGAAGGCCUUCGGGUUGUAAAGCCCUUUUGUUGGGAAAGAAAAGCAGCAGGUUAAUACCCCGCUGUUCUGACGGUACCCAAAGAAUAAGCACCGGCUAACUUCGUG
rnacentral:rRNA from 1 species